AUUGAACGCUAGCGGGAUGCUUUACACAUGCAAGUAGAACGAGUGGCGGACGGGUGAGUAAUAUAUCGGACCGUGCCCAUUAGCGGGGGUUAACUACUCAAAAGAGAGGCUAUACCCGCAUCCUAUCGGAGCGGCCGAUAUCGGCUUAGCUAGUGGGGGGGGUAAAGGUUCACCAGGGCAAAGAUCCCUAGCUGGUUUCAGAGGGAGACCAGCCAAACUGGGACUGAGACACGGCCCAGACUCCUACGGAGGGCAGCAGUGGGGAAUUUUGGACAAUGGGGGAAACCCUGAUCCAGCCAUCCCGCGGGUAUGAGAAGGCCGUCGAGUUGUAAAGUACUUUUGGCAGAGAAGCGGUAUCUGCAGAAUAAGCACCGGCUAACUACGUGCCAGCAGCCGCGGUAAUUC
rnacentral:rRNA from 1 species